rnacentral:rRNA from 1 species
UACGUAGGGGGCUAGCGUUGUCCGGAUUCAUUGGGCGUAAAGGGUGCGUAGGCGGCGCGGUAAGUCGGGUGUGAAAUCUCGGGGCUUAACUCCGAAACUGCAUUCGAUACUACCGUGCUUGAGGACUGGAGAGGAGACUGGAAUUUACGGUGUAGCGGUGAAAUGCGUAGAUAUCGUAAGGAAGACCAGUGGCGAAGGCGGGUCUCUGGACAGUUCCUGACGCUGAGGCACGAAGGCCAGGGGAGCAAACGGG